UACGUAGGGUGCGAGCGUUAAUCGGAAUUACUGGGCGUAAAGUGUGCGCAGGCGGCUUCGCAAGUCGAGUGUGAAAUCCCCGAGCUUAACUUGGGAAUUGCGCUCGAAACUACGGAGCUGGAGUGUGGCAGAGGAAGGUGGAAUUCCACGUGUAGCGGUGAAAUGCGUAGAGAUGCGGAGGAACACCGAUGGCGAAGGCAGCCCCCUGGGUUGACACUGACGCUCAGGCACGAAAGCGUGGGGAGCAAACAGG
rnacentral:rRNA from 1 species